GCUCCCUUUGGCAGCCAAUAUACUAAAAUUGGAAUAAUACAGAGAUUAGUCGGGCCCCCGUGCAAGGAUGGCAUGCUAAUUCACGAAGCACUCCUUACUUUA